CGGCCCAAGCUUAAAACAAAAAAUUGUCCCGAGCACGUCAUCCCCAACCUCUCGACCUUAUCCUCCCACCGCACCGCGCCGCGACGCCUGCCCGACCUUGCACGGCGCCGCCCCCAUCUCGCCCGACCUUCCACCGCGCCGCCCCACCCAGCCUCCCACCGCGCCGCGCUGCCCCGCCCCGCCCGGCCUCCCACCGCGCCGCGCCGCCCCGCCCGGCCUUCCAUCGCGCGGCGCCGCCCCGCUCGGCCUUCCUCCGCGUCGCCCGGCCUCCCACCGCGUAGCGCCGCCCCGCCCGAGCUCCCACCGCAACGCACCCUCCCGCUACAUGUCUCACCCUCCCUCGGCUGCAGGUCGCGGCCUCCCGCGGCUGCAGGUCACAGAUUCGACCUCGUCGCUUCACAUAGGGACCGUGGCCUCCCCCGCGUGUGGUCGCCUCCGUCCUGCUUCAAGCCCGUUUCCGACCGUCCAUAGACUGAUUGAACUGACGGGCUUGAUCCCCUUCGACAAUAGCAGCUUCACCAAUGUUGCCGUUAAACAACGCAGCGGUCAGAUGCUUUUCUCUUGUUUUCUCUCGCCUCUGUAAUUUCUUUUUGAUUUUGGGGACUGAGUGAGUGCAGUUCACCGAGGCAUUCCAUGUGUUGAUGGGUUUUCUUGGUUAGCACAAAUUCAUGAACUAUCAUUUUUUUAAUUGAAUUGUUGCUACUCUUGAUUCUGAUAUGAGGGGAGAAGACAAAACUAAAUGAUUCAGUUCAUCAUUGGCAUCCUUGUGAACAGUUCUGAAGAUAGCUUUCAGAGACUAAUUACGGUGAUAUUUCUCUCAAACUUUUUCUACAAAUAACCUGGGACUUCCACUGACUGUGCCACUACUUCAGCGUCCACCAUUAGUGGCAUUGGCCGCCCUCUGCCAAAUCUUGGCGCUCCCAGCCGCUGCUCAUGAACCCCGCCUCCAUCAGCUCCACUUCACCGGAGCCGCCAGUCCGCAUGAGUAGGGGUAGCAUAUCCCCCUACAGCGGCCAAACCCCGGUGCACCCAGCCGCUGCUCUUGAACCCCGCCUCCAUCAGCUCCACUUCACUGGAGCCGUCAGUCUGCAGGAGUAGGGGUAGCAGGUUCACCCGACGUCCGACGCCUUCUUCCAUCUCCAAAAAUCUUGUUUUUUGAGUUCAGUUCUUCAUCACAUGUUUCACUAGCUGAAAUUGCAUGGUGUUCUGAAAUUGCUUGCGGACCACUAGCUGUAAUUGCUUGACGAACAGAGCAAAGGUUGUAUCUUCGUCUACUGUUUUUCAGAUAUUCGUCAUAUGCAUGAGCACGGCUAUAUUUGCUUGUUAUGAUAUAGUGGGCACCAUUAACAUUUGAUAUUCCUUCUGCAGGGCCCAAACCCACUAUCGUGCAAGAAAAAGAAAUCAAAGCCUCAACCAUCAGCUGCUCAAAUCAUCAGAUGCGCCAUCAGCUUCUCCUGCUCCUCCUCCUCCUGGUAUACACGAACUCCAGUUCGUCGAGAGGCUCCCUGGAGAAAUCAAUGGUGAAAAAUUCUGAUUGCAGCAAUGGCAUGCUCCAAGCCCGCCGAGACUGAAUCAUUCGACAUCAAUUCUCUGCACAGCGUGGCUCGACGUGCAGCCCGCCGGCUCCUUCGUGUACGUCCAGACAAGAUGCUAUGAUGUACAAUUUAAUGCAUGAAGACCCGACCCAACCAGCGUCGCCAUGGCACGGCGCCUACUGGCGAAGGACCACCACCUCCCCGACGACGUGCCCAAACCCGCCGACGAGGCCCGCCGCCCCAACCCUCCUCCUUCCUCCUCGCAUCGGGAUGAGCAAGAUCCAGCCGGCGCCUAAAGCCCAUUCCACCAUUGUACCUCUCCCUUCCGCUCGCUGCACUGACCGGUGUGACAUAGCGCCGCCGCCAAGGGAUUGAGGCUUCGCCAAGGAACAAGACUGGUAACUAGCGCAAAGGAGACUAUGUCGAGAGGUGGCACUGCUAGACUUGCUGAUGUGUAGUUAUGGCAUAAAAAAGAUGAAAAAAAUUGUAUCUUGUAUGAUUCCAUAAGGUGUACGUAUCAAAUCUUCCCAUGUGGAUCAGUACAACUUAUGUACGGCCUUGAGUUCACAAAUCUUAUAGUAAUCUUUGUAGUACUUUCCGUAACACUAAGUAAAGCAAGAGUAGCCCUUUUUUGUGAGCAACAAUUCAAACGAAUCUGUUGUAUCAGUUCUUAUGAUAGAUAGAAGAAAGUUCACCAGCCAAAA